AUUGAACGCUGGCGGCCAUGCCUUACACAUGCAAGUCGAACGGCAGCAUAGGAGCUUGCUCCUGAUGGCGAGUGGCAACGGGUGAGUAAUAUAUCGGAACGUGCCCUAGAUGGGGGAUAACUAGUCGAAAGAUUAGCUAAUACCGCAUACGAUCUNCGAUGAAAAGUGGGGGGAUCGCAAGACCUCAUGCUCUUGGAGUGGCCGAUAUCUGAUUAGCUAGUUGGUGGGGUAAAGGCCUACCAAGGCUACGAUCAGUAGCUGGUCUGAGAGGACGACCAGCCACACUGGAACUGAGACACGGUCCAGACUCCUACGGGAGGCAGCAGUGGGGAAUUUUGGACAAUGGGGGCAACCCUGAUCCAGCAAUGCCGCGUNAGUGAAGAAGGCCUCGGGUUGUAAAGCUCUUUUGUCAGGGAAGAAACGGCGAGUGCUAAUACCACUUGCUAAUGACGGUACCUGAAGAAUAAGCACCGGCUAACUACGUGCCAGCAGCCGCGGUAAUACGUAGGGUGCGAGCGUUAAUCGGAAUACUGGGCGU
rnacentral:rRNA from 1 species